rnacentral:lncRNA from 1 species
UAUUCAGAAUGGAUAAGCUGAGAUCCUACUUUAUAGCACAGGGAACUAUAUCCAAUCUCUUGGGAUAAGAACAUGAUGAGAAAAAGAAUGUGUUAUUUUGCUGAACAGCAGAAAUUGGCACAACUCCGUAAAUCAACUAUAACUUAAUUAAAAAAUAAAUAAUUAACAGUUUCCAGAAUCCAAUUACUUUUGGUGUUAUAAUAAAAGAAAACACAAGAAAAUAGGCAAAAAUGCAGGAAGAAAAAAAGAGACAUUGGAAGUUUAACUUUUAAGCAAGAACCAACCACUUUUCCAUGAUAUAUUUUUAUAGAAAAGUGGUAGAAAAUUAUGAAUAUUACAUAUGAAGCCACACAAAAAUAAAAUGUUUGAAAGACUGUAAACCAAAAUAUUAAUAGUGAUCCAGUGGAGGUCAGGAUUUGAUGGUAUUUAACAAUUUCUUUUUGUAUCUCUGAAAUUUCUAACUUUUCUAUAAUAAACACGUAAAGCUUUUUAAAAAGGACAAUCAGGGUUUAAAGAAGUGAAAAUCUUGCUUCUCUUCUCAAGAUGUCACCUUUUAAAUUCAUCGUUCAAUUUUCAUAAAAGUUUAGAAUGCUUAGCAUACAUGACAUACUGAGCCCAGUGAACAACAGAAUAAUGCAAUUGUAAAAUUAGUCCAUCCCUCCAUGUUCCCUAACUGUAACCACACAAGGACUCUCCUCUCUUUGCCAUUCCGAGUCAAUGUGGGUUUUCACAUUCCCAUUAACCUCUUUUUUUUUCUCUGUAAAGGUGAUAUAUUUCUACCAGUAAGUGGUCAACUUUUAAGAAUCACUAAAAAGUUAAAAAUAAUUGUAUUUCCUGUGAAUCUCGAGAUGGGCAAUAACAUUUUAUUUUUUUGUUAUAUUAAAUUUUCUUAAAAGAUUGAAAACUGACAACACAAAAAUAGUCACAUUUUUUCUAUGUAGAAAGUAAACAGAUGAAUAUUCAUUUUAUCAAUUAGGGAGCGACUUCUUUUGGUGCACAUUAAUGCCAAGAAUAAUAAAAUAUCUUGGUAAAACAAUCUCACAUAAAUUAAAUUCUGUAACCUUACUCCUAGGGUUAGCCCUGACUCUUAAGAGGUGGUCUUUCUGGAUUCUCAGCCCAAAGCAUGGGUAUUUAUGGACAUAUCUCCUGACUGGCUGAGUCUGAACAUCAGCGUUCCUCAGGAACUAUGUAGCAUCUCUGUGCUGCUCUCUAGGCAACUCAUGGCCAUUCUUUGCAUGUCCAGUUAGCAUCUUUUCCUGCUCAUGUGCAGCUUUGAUGGUGACCUUAGACAUCAGAGGAAUUUUUAUGCCAAUUUUUUUUUGUUUUGUUUUACCAACUGCUUAUUGCUUACUUUAUUUUAAGCUGCAUGACUAAACUUUGUUAUCUGAUGGUGAAGGUGGGCUCUGCUGAUGCUAUGCUCAACACUUGGAGAUUUGCAAUGAAUUUGAGGUUGCAGGGUGGAUCGUAUGUAACCUUAGGAGAUUUCUUUUUCACUGAGCUUAAUUCUCUGGUGGUUCAUUGAGGUUGUUGUAUUUGUCAACAGUUUGUUCCUUUUUUACUGCUGAGUAGUAUUCCAUGCUGUAGGUGCUUGAGAGUUUGUUCAUCUCUUCACUCAUUGAGAAACAUCUGGCUUAUUUCCAUUUUUGGGCUCUUACAAGUCAAGCUCCCCUUUUUUUCUCUGAGUCCCUGUCACCUUUGACAUUCCACCUCCUUCUGUUGUUCAAAUUUUUAUAGUCCCUUGUGCAAGCUUGUUUCUAAAAAUGUCGGGAAUAUGUCAAUGGGUGUCAAAGGAACAUCAGGUUUAUCAGGUUAUGUUGGUAGUUGGAGAGAGGGAUUCUACUAGUUAGUCCACACCUGGGUGCCCCAAGAUCAAAAAGACUCUCUUUCAGAAGUUGUGCAAAACUUUCUGGGUGUAGUCCUCCUAGCCACUUUCCUCCUCUGGAGGCUAAGUUUCAGUGCCCAGCUCCGACCUAAGCAUCUCAGCCUGUGGUUUCUGGGGUGGUGGUGCAGAUGAUCUGUGUGGCUCUCUACUUUGUCCUCGGUCCAGCUGCUGCGCUUGUCUCAGAGACUCUGAGGUCUAGGCUGAUCUUCCAGUCUGUUAGGUGGAUUCCCAGGUGUGGGUUCCUUUUCUCCUUCAUAGCUCCCUCUCAGGAAUGCUAGUCCUGUCCUGAUCCCUUUUUUCUCUCUUUUUAUUUUGUUAUAUCCAGUUAUGUCAAGGGUUUCUUGCCCUUUUGGGAGGUUUAAGUUCUUCUGCCAGCCUUCAGUAGAUGUUCCAUGGAGUCGUUUUACAUGUAAUGUGUUUUUUGAUGCGUUUGUGGGAGAAGGUGAGCGUGAAGUCUUACUCCUCCGCCACCUUGUUCCGCCUCCCAUGCCAAUAUUAAUGGGUCUUUUUCUGCAGUUCUUUCUAAGGCCCUGUCUCCCAGAACCUCAGCUGCAUGGCAGCCCCUAACCCUGAUCUGUGUUUCUUCCACUGAAUGAGAAGUCCUCUCUUUGCCCUUAGGGAGAAAGCUGGGUGAAUGAGAUUUGGGAAUCUGCUGUGUGUUCUUUCUCUUAAGCAUCUUAGUCACUCAGGGCCUGCAAACUAUUGUUUUAUAUAUGUUGUUCCAUUUUUAUUGUUUUGGAGUUCAUUGAGUAGUUAAAUUCUAUAUCAGCUAUUUCUGAAAACCUUUCCUUGAGCAUGGCCUUCUAAUAUUACCACAACCCUGCCCACUAUUUUUCAUUAUUCUCUUAGCAUAUUAUUCUUUUUUUUGGUUUUAAUAGCCCACAUCACUAUUCAAAAUUAUCUGAAUUAUUUACUUGUUUAUUUCUUUACUCAUUUAUUAUCUGUCUUCCUUACUGGAAUGUCAGCUUCAUGAGCUUACAUGGAUUGUGGAUUAUCAGAUCUUAUCUGUCCUGUUAAAUAUAGUGGCUCCAGCAGCUAACAGAAGUGUCUGGCAUUGUAGGAGACACUAAAGAAAUAUUUGUUGAAUGAAUGAUUAUUGAUUAUUUUAUUUUGACUACUAAGUACUAUCCAAAGUGCAUAAAUUUGAGUUACAAGUUGGAUAAAUAGAUAAUAUCAAGAUAUAUUGUAUCCAUGUAUUGAAGAAAAAGCAAAAAAUUUGUUUUUAAUCUUUUCAAUCCAUAUUAAAGCAUAGCAUUUUAUAUGAGGGACUAAAUCUUGAACUACAUAAACACAUAUUUUUAUUUCUUUUAAAAAACAGAUAAGACAUUUCCUUGCAGAACUAGCAGGUAUCUAUUUUAUAAUAUGAAAUGUAUCUAACUUCAUAACUGAUACUUUGUAUUUCAGUUUUUCUUACUCUCCUUAAAUUUUGAGGAACAUGAAAGUUGCUUUAUGGGAAUCAUUUGGAAAUUCACUAUCAUGAUUCUCCCCUGUGCUUUGUUUGUUGUAUCUUUACACAUGUAUAAAGAUUUGUGGAUGAAACACUGCAGACAGUUUGGCUGAAAAUGUAAAACCUCACUGGCCAGCAGAGGGGACUAAUAAAUCAGUGAUAUUAAAAUCUUCUUACAAUAUAUUUCUUAUGUCAGAAAGAUAAAAGCCAGAAUAAAAACCCUUUCCGUUGAGAGCAUCCUCCUAGAUCAGUAUGCAGCUAGAAAUUUUAAUAGGGAACAUGCAUCUUUUGGUAAUAAAAGUUGUUAAUAAAGAACAAGAUAGCACAGAUUGGUUUGUUUUGUUCUUUUUUCUGGAAGAAAAAGUUCCUGGAAGAGAGCCCUUAUGAAUAGGCUACAUGGAAUAGCUGACAAAACCUGAAUAAGUGCAAAUGAAUGUGAAUGAAUAUGAGUCAUCCUUUUAGAGGAGCAAUUCAUUAGAGAAUGGCCAUGAUAUAUAUUAUCAUGUAUACUUUAUAUAUCAGGAUAAGGUAUUUGGAUAUAUGUAAUGUUUAUAAAUUUUAGAUUCUGGUAUGAAAUGGAUGGUGGAAUUUAAGAACCUAUGAAAGGAGAAGAUAGCUUAAGAUCUUGAAUUUUCAAUGCAAUGCUAAGAUGGAGAAAGAAAAAGCCUCAGGAUCCAGCGUUGCUAUGAGCUGUGGUAUAGGCCACAACAUGUUUCGGAUCCUGUGUUGCUGUGGUUGUGUGUAGGCUGGCAGCUACAGUUCCAGUUCAACCCCUAGCCUGGGACCCUCCAUAUGCCACGGGUGUGGCCCCAAAAAG